AAUUUAUUAGUUUAAAUUUUAAAACAUUACAUUUUCAAUGUAAAAAAAAAUAUUUUUAUUUAUAAAUUA
rnacentral:tRNA from 1 species